UACAGCUUUUGUGGUGACAAACAGUUUUCUUCACAAAUGAAAAUUAUCCCUGUUUGUGAAAAACACCCAUAGCUGAUAUCCUGGGCCCUGCCAACUUCCAGUCUCCGAGCCAGGUCUGACUUCUCUAAUUCAAGGUAUUUUUUACAACUGGAGGAGAGAAACCUUGUGCUGUGGUGCCCCUUGUGUCCUUCAGAACUCAGUGGAGUGGACACAAUCAAAGUGCCUACAUCAAUGAAAACAUUAAGAAGGAGAACUGGGAUUGUCUGUCUGUCUUAUCUGAAGAGAGGAAUGGUCACAUCAAAGCAAUAUCCAAGGAUGCAGGUCACCAUGAACAUGAAAGGUUUGUCACUUUUGCCAUGGCUGUCCCAGAGGAAAUGGAGCCUCACCUUCAGCUGGCAGAACGGGACAUAGGAACAUUUACAUCAGUGAUUAGGUAAGGAGUUAAGUUUCCUUCAACACCCACAGUAACCCUGAUUGUGGUAAAGAGAGCAGGUACAUUGGAGAGGUGUCAUCUCACAGCCUUGUGAAAAUGUCUGUGUUUACCCUGCUCCUUUUUCCCUCCAGUGACAUGGACUUUGG
rnacentral:lncRNA from 1 species